AAGAGACAUACAUAUCAUUGACGGUGAAGAUUUCCUUGGCUACCUCACUCGAAUUCACCACCAGGGCUGGGUGAACACCAAUCCGGAUCAUGUAGGCAGGUCCAUAUUUCUCACCUAAGUCUCCCAAUGUUUCAUGAGGGGUCUUGGGUCCGCCUAACAGCGGAAGGUGACCGAUUAUUGGCCAUGCACCGGCUGCUACGGGUGCAGCUUUGCUGCUACUUCCUGAGCUAGACUUCUUGAGUUUGGUGUACAAAAACAGUAGCGUGAUGCCUAACACUACUGCAUAACCAAAAGUGGAGAAAUCAAGAAGAUCCAUCACUGCUGUGUUAAGAAAGUGUAGAGAUCUUCUGAAGAAAUUGAUGAUGGGAAUGUCUUGCCUUUUGCACUUAUAAAUAUAGCUGGGGUGCCAAGACGCCAACGGUCAAGCUUGUCCUUGUGGAAAUUGAAUUUUUUAAUUCUAUUUUAUUAUCAUUGAAUAAAGCUCCGUCAUCAAUGUUUGAAUGGUAUUCAGGUGCCAUACUGGUUCAUCCACUGAAGUCAAAGAAAAUACUAACAAGUUCAAAACCUUAAAUAGGCUACGGAACCAUCCAAGCAGUUAAGACUAAAGCCGAAUCCCUAACCAUAAAGUGGGUCUAUAUGGAUGUUAUUGUUCCAUCUUUUAUGAUCAUUUGAACUAAAAGGUAAAUCGGUCGGUAUCAACACAUUUAGCUUGAUAGUUAAAUUAAUCAUGUGAUGCGAGAGGGCUCUUCAAUAAUGGCAACUACAUUAAGAUAGUAAGGUCCUCCGUUUUCAACACAUUGUAUAUUUUAAUACAUUGGUCACUUAUGUAGGUGAGAGGGUUCUUGUUUGGCGGCUUAUACUUUAAUAACAUUUCCAGGUUUUUUCUCUUCUUUUUUGGCUGUCCCACUGCUAACUGCUUAAUUAGUCGGUCAGCUCCUUUCUAAAAUAAGAUAUAUAGAAGAUGUAAUAAAAAAUUUUAGGUUCUUGUUUGGCGGCUUAUACUUUUAUAACAUUUCCAGGUUUUUUUGUUCUUUUUUGGCUGUCCCACUGCUAACUACUUAAUUAGUCGGUCAGCUCCUUUCUAAAAUAAGAUAUAUAGAGGAUGUAAUAAAAAAUUUUGGUUGGUUAAAAUUGAGAUUUAUUUUUGUAUGUAAGUAAAAAUGUAAUUUUAUUAUUUUAAUAAUUUAUAUUUUUUGUAAUUUUUAAAAAAUUUAAUUAAUUUUUUUUAUUAUUUUAGAGGUGAAGUGCAAUUUUAUUAUAACUAAUUUAAAAUUUUAUAAAUUAUUAAAAUGUCAAAAGAAGGAUUUUUUAUUUUAAGAGGGUCCAGGGCACCACCGGGUACACAAGACCCUUAAAAAAAUUAAUUGAAAUCUUAUACUAAAUUUGCAUUCAAUUCAACUUCUACAGUUAAUAAAAAAAUAAUUAAACCCUUCCGUUAAUAGUUUCUAUCUUUAAUUAUGUUACUAUUAAAAUCAAUUGAUAAAUCAAUCAAAUGACGACACGUGAAAGCUUUUGAUUUAAUCAUAUAAUUUCCUCAUUAAAAAUCAUAAAAAUGUUAUAAAAAAUUAAAAAUAUAUAUAAACUUAUAAAACCUAUAAAAAUUAUAAAAACUUAUAAUAAAUUAUACAAAUAGUAAAAAAUAAAACAUAUUAAAAAUAUUUAUAAAUUAUAAAUAUUAUAAAAAAUCUAGUAAUCUAAUAAUUAUCAAUAAUUAUAAAACUUAUAAAAAUUAGAAGAAAUUAUGAAAAAUUGUAACUUUAUUUAAAACUAUAAAAUGUUACAAAUAUAUAAAUAUUUAUUUAUUUGUUCCUCGUUUUAUAAAUUAAACCCCUAAAAUUAAAAUAAACACGCGACUUUAAAUCAACUUUUGGAUAAUGAGAAUAGUCGUUUGAAUAUUUUAUGUUAACAUACAUUAAUAUUUACAACCAUUGGAUAAUAAGUUUGGUUUUAUAAUAUCUAACUGUACCAAAAAACUUUAUAUUAUACUAUAAACAUUUUUCAAACUUUUGGAGUUCCAAACUAUUGUAUUGUACUUUAAAAACUAAAUAUAAAAAUUUUAAAAUUAAAAACAAUAAGUUAUCAAUAAAAAGGAAAGAGCCUCUUAAUCAUCAUUAUAUUAUUUUUGGAAGAUUGAUAAUAUUUCAUUCAACACGAAAAUGAUCUUAACGAUCUCACUAUUAUUCUCAUUGUUCGAUAGUUAAUCUCAUAUGAUGUGUUUGUUAUGAUUUUAGGGUUUAACUACCUUUUUAUAAUUUCUAAUGUUUUCUAAUUUUUAAUAAUUUUAUAAGUUUUUAUAAAAUUUAAUAGAAAUUUUUGUAAGUUUAUAUAAUUUUAUUAGUUUUAUAAUUUUUUUAAGAUUAAAUAAAAAAGGUUAACUUAUUUUAAUAAUCAAUAUGAUGAAAAGACAAAAAAAUAUUAAGAGAAGUUCUUAAUUAAUUUUUUUUAUUAAUUGUAAGAAUUCAAUUGGGUUUAAUUUCAUCGAAAGUAGGUAGACUUGUUGGCCAUGCUGGGUUGGAUAUCAUUUUGUCGACUUUGAGGAUUCAGUGUCCACUAUUCUCAAGUAACGUAGACUUUUCUUUUCUUUUUUUUAGUAUAUAAUAUGAUAUUAAUAUAUAAAGACACCAAAUUUGAAGAAAGUUUACUUCAAGAUUAUUAAAAUGUAUCCUGGGAAAUUUUUUUACCCAUCAAAUUACUCAUAUUCUUCAUUGACUUAUUUAAUAUAAUACAGGACACCAAAAUUGAAGAAAGUUUAAUUUAAUCCAAAUUCAAGUUUAUUAAAAUGUAUCUUACAAUUUUUCUUUAACCCAUCAAUGUAAUAUUAUUUGAUACACUUUCGAUAGAGAUUUUAGAUAUAAUAGGGUCAGUAGGUGAUAAGUAUUUUAUAAAAAUAUAAUAAAAUAUUUUUUUUUAAAAAAAGCAUGACAAUUUUUAAAAACUACUUAUAAAAUAAAAAAAUAUAUUAUUAAUAUAUUAAAUACAAAUCCUAUUAAUAUAUACCAACACCAAAAUUGAAGAAAGUUUAAUUUUGUAAGAUCCACUUCAAAUUUAUUAAAAUUCAUCUUGGAAAUUUUUUUAACCGAUAAACUUUAUAUUGUUCACUGAAUGACAAUUUUUUUCAUUUUUUAUUUUAUUAUUUUAUCAAAUGAUUCUGAUUAAAUGAACUUAUUUGGAGAGGGAUGAUUGAUUAGUAUAUAUAAAGCUUGGACAGGCCUGGUUCACCACUGCCGUCUGAAAUUGAAAGAGCCACCAAGAGGGUGAAUGACAAAGACAAUAAUGAACUGGAUCCUAGGGAUCAGAAGAUGGAGGACUCUCAUGGUUGGAAGGAAUCUCAUGGGAAGGAAACUGUUUUACUUGAUCACGAUGAGUUUGAGCUGUUUGGAUGAUGAUAAUAAUGCAGCCUCGCCAAUACCCAAAAAUAUUUUUUUUUCCUACGGUUUAUAAUAGUUGAACUUUUAGUGGUAUAAUAAAUAUGAUUUUAGAAUUUUAUUUCUAUAAAUCAGAUUAAUAAAUAUUAAAUAUUAAUAUUUAUGAGAAUAUAUAAAAAUAUAUUUAAAAUUGGCUUAAUAAUUUUGUCAAUUAUAUAGUUAACCAAGGCUCAAAGAUUAAAUUGUAAAAAUUUCAAUCGUUAUAAAUUUUUAAUUGAUUGAAGACUUAAAUAACAAUUAAUCAAUGACUAAAAUGAUAAAUAAAUCAUUUUGUAAUAUAAGAUAGUAGAUGAUGAUGCUGUUUUCCAAUUGUAAUUAAAGUAAACUAAUUAAGGAUUAGGUUAAUUAAUCAAGGUUAACUAAUUUUUAAUUAAGGUAUAAAAGUUAAAUUUAGUGGAGGAGAAUUUGUCAUCUUCCUCAUUUGCUCUUCUUGUCGUCCAUUGAAGAAAGCCUAAUGAAAAAUACUAAAGACAUCCUGCCAUUGAUUUUAAGAUAAAUUCAAGUCAUUUUAUUAAGAUUUUUAUGAAUUUAGAGUUCUGGGAGUUUGAUUUGGCUAAUUUAUGUACCAAUUUGUAAAACUGUUAAAGUUUUAGAAAGUUGCAUAUUGUUGAUUUAUUGAAGAAUUAGGCUUGAAAUUGAUAGAUUUUAAACUUAAAAAAUAAAAAAGAACUAGAUUGUAAAGUUAAUUUAGCUUGUUUGUUAAUUUUGUUACAUUAGGAAUCAAAUUAAAUAAAUAUAAAACUUAUCAUGAAAUUAUAUUAGAAAUAGAAAGUAUAAGGUUCAAAAUAAAAAUAUGUGAAAUCGGAUUUUAAUUCGAAUCUAAGAAUUGAAAGUUAUGACUAUCCCGACUAUAGGUUCAUGCAUAUCAUAGAAUAGUAUGGAGAUACUUGGUAUUGAUUAAUGAUAUAAAAUGAUUGUUUAGAUCAAGAAUCGGAUCGAAGAGAAGUUGAUCGGGAAAAAACUAAAAUUGCGAAUUAGCCCCUAAAGUAUCCGCUUUGCAUAUUUUGAACAAAUAAGUUCAAAUGAAACUUAUCACUCUCUUUUAUUUUAUGUAUAUAUUAAUUAUGUUUGAAUUUAUCUAUAUGCUAGAAUUUAGUUAAUUUGGCACAUAUGACUUAAAAUUGACUAAAUUGAAAAGUCAUGUGGAUAUUGAUUAUUAUGAAAUAGUACAGGGUGCAAAUAUGAAUGUUGAUUUAUUACAGAACUCGUAAAUGAAAUAUGUAAUCAUGUACAUAUUGGAUCUGGUGACUUAAGUGUAGUAUAUUCGUUUAUACAAUUGUAAUUUUUUCGAAUAAAUUGGUUAAUAAAUUAUUAGUGAAUUACAAUAAUACCCUUUGUAUAUUGUCCUCACGUGAUUUUUGCAUGUAAAACAAAUAUUAGUUCAGUGGUUAUCUAAUGUUUAAAUAAUACUAAAUGGUAUUACGUGGUCGGAUUGUAAAACGGAUAGAUAUCUAAUAUUAGUAGACAACUUAUAAAAUAACAUGUUAUUUCCGAUUAGAUUAAGGACAUGUUUAGAUUCGCCUACUAAUAUAAGUUGUUUUUCCGUAUUAUGAUCCGACCACAUAAUACCACUUAGUAUUAGUUUAAACAUUAGAUAACCAGUAAACCAAUAGUUGUUUUUAUUUUUACUUUGCAUGCAAAAACUAUACAAAGACAUUAUACAAAGUAUAUUAAUGAAAUUCAUAAAUUAUUUUAUUAACCAAUCUGUUUGAAAAAAUUACAAAUUUACAAACUAAUAUACUACACUUAAAAUAUAGAUCUAACAAAGAUAAAUAAUUAUUAUAGAUAUUUGUAUAUAUAUAUAUAUAUAUAUAUGAUGGUUGAGUUAAUUGUUAUUCAUGUGUUUAAUUAAAAGCAUGAUAGAAAUUGGGUUAUGUAAAAUACAUAGCGAUGAUGUAAGGCAUUAUUUGAAUAGCCAAUAUUUAAAUCAUCUACAUUUAUGCUAUGCCUCGCUAUGUUCCCAUAUUUGAACUUAUUUACUUUUCCUUGAUAAAUUUUUUGUAAUAUACCUUGAUAAACUUUUUGUAAUAUUGAAACCUUGAACCAAAAUUUCAUAAAUUCUAAUUAAUGGGAAAAAAAGAAGAUAAUACGUAUCUCAAAAUGCUGACUCCCAACUCUUUAACAUAGUCGUGCAGGGUGAUGCUAGCAUAUUAGACACAACAAGUAGAAACGCAUAGCAGAAAAAUGAAGUCAACAUUUGCCAAAAAAAAAAUAUUGAACCUAAAUUUGAGAGCAAAGCAUUUUCAUGUUUACCAUAUAAACAAUAUUAAAUCUAGAUGUUUACCAUUAUUGAUUCCAAAAAAGAGAAAAAAGGAGGAGUGUAAUAGAUACAGACAUACUCAAAUUAAAUAAUAAUACAACAAUAAAAUCAAAAUGCAUAAGCAUUAUUGUUCUUCACACCUGAUUAUUGCCAUCUUCAUCUAAAUUUUAAUUAUAAAGUUCAGGAGCAAGGCGAGGUGAGACCAAGGCUUCAAGCGGUGUAGAUUUAAUGUUAGUCAAUCCAGCGGUGCCGGUCAAGUCAAUCAAACCAUUGGAUGGUGUUGAGAAAUCGAAGGCGUGCAAAAAAUUAGACAUGGUCAAGAACAACAUAUGGAGUGCAAACGAUGUUCCAGGACAACUCCUCCUACCGCUGCCAAAGGGCAUUAGUUCAAAAUGUUGACCCCUAACAUCCACAUCUUUGUGGGUAGUGAGAAACCUCUCGGGCUUAAACUCCAAUGGUUCUGGCCAUUUUUUAGGAUCCCUUUGAAUCUUGUGAAGGUUUAUGAUCAACCGAGUGCCUUUGGGGAUGUCGUAGCCUCCAAUGGAGCAAGUUUCACUGAGCUCACGAGGUGCUGACAGAGGUGCAGGUGGAUACAAUCUUAAUGUCUCUUUAACUAUGGCUUGAAUGUACACCAAUUUGCCGAUGUCUGUUUCAUUCACAAACCUAUCCUUGCCUAUAUGGGUGUCUAGUUCUUCUUGAGCCUUUUUGAGUAUAUGAGGUUUAUUUAACAUGAGGGAAAGACCCCAUAUUAAGGUAACUGUUGUUGUGUCACUGCCUGCUAAAAUCAUAUUCUGCAAUAUGCAUUUUUCAUAAUUUUUAGAAUUUUAGAAUUGAAUAAUGGAGAGAUAAGAAUUGAAAAAAGAACGAGUAAAAUGUUAUACCAAAGAAGUGGCUUUGUUGAUGGUGUCAGCAUCAUAUCCGGCAAGACUUGCACCUUUAAGAACGGAGUUCAUCACAUCCAUGAAAUCCUUCUCCUUUUUAUUUUCAUCCCAGCGUCCACUCUUCCUAUGGUCAUCUAGCCAUCCCCCGGAAAUUUCAUCCAACUCUUUAGCAGUUAUCUUCAUCCGCUUUUCAUAACCACCAAUAUCCAACCAUCGGAGGAAAGGGACUGCAUCUCCCAACACAAACAUCCCUGUCAAGUGAAAGAAAUCCCGUAGAGCCUUACGAUAUCUCAACACCUCUUUUUGGUCUUCCUCUGCGACAACACUGUACCUCUUACCAGCAACCGUCCUCAUAAUAACGUUCAAAGUCAAGUCUGAAAAGUGUUUUUUCAUCUCAACCAACACCUUACCCGAGCCAUCCUUUUUCUCGGCCCAAGUUUUAUAUAAUAGUUUCAUUGAGCCUUCUAUUUCCGAGACAAAAACUUUCUUGAGUUGAUCGAUCCUGUGAUUAGAUAGCACCUCCAACAUUGUUAUUUUGCGCAUUUCACGCCAGUAUUGUCCAUAAGGAGAGAACCCAAACAUGGCAUAGUUGUAACCCAAGUGUUCUGCGGCCGCAAAUUCGGAACGGGAGGAAACAUACAUAUCAUUGACGGUGAAGAUUUCCUUGGCCACCUCACUCGAAUUCACCACCAAGGCUGGAUGAACACCGAUCCGGAUCAUGUAGGCAGGUCCAUAUUUCUCUUCCAAGUCUCCUAAUGCUUCAUGAGGGGCCUUGGGUCCACCUAACAGCGGAAGGUGACCGAUUAUUGGCCAUGCACCGGCAGCUAC
rnacentral:lncRNA from 1 species